GACGAACGCUGGCGGCGUGCCUAAUACAUGCAAGUCGAACGCAGUGGGGACGGGUGAGUAACACGUGGGUAACCUCCCAUCAGAGGGGAUAACACUUGGAAACAGGUGCUAAACUGAUACUGAUGGAUGGACCCGCGGUGCAUUAGCUUGCUGGUGGGGUAACGGCUCACCAAGGCCACGAUGCAUACCCGGCCUGAGAGGAGGAUCAGCCACACUGGGACUGAGACACGGCCCAGACUCCGACGGGAGGCAGCAGUGGGGAAUCUUCGGCAAUGGACGAAAGUCUGAUCGAGCAACGCCGCGUGAGUGAAGAAGGUUUUCGGAUCGUAAAGCUCUGUUGUUAGGGAGGCGGUAUCUAACGAAGAAGCCACGGCUAACUACGUGCCAGCCGCCGCGGUAAUUC
rnacentral:rRNA from 1 species